rnacentral:misc_RNA from 1 species
GAUGAAGAACGUAGCAAAAUGCGAUAAGUAAUGUGAAUUGCAGAAUUCAGUGAAUCAUCGAAUCUUUGAACGCACAUUGCGCCCGCUGGUAUUCCGGCGGGCAUGCUUGUUCGAGCGUCAUUUCAACCCUCAAGCCCCCGGGUUUGGUGUUGGGGAUCGGCUCUGCCUUCUGGCGGUGCCGCCCCCGAAAUACAUUGGCGGUCUCGCUGCAGCCUCCAUUGCGUAGUAGCUAACACCUCGCAACUGGAACGCGGCGCGGCCAUGCCGUAAAACCCCAACUUCUGAAUGUUGACCUCGGAUCAGGUAGGAAUACCCGCUGAACUUAAGCAUAUCAAUAAGCGGAGGA